CAAGUCGAGUGCGCAGUCUGCUGUAGCAAUACAGCAGAUCGGCGCACGGCGCACGGGUGCGUAACACGUGGGUAACCUGCCCUCCAAAGGGGGAUAACCCGCCGAAAGGCGGGCUAAUACCGCAUGACAUUCCGGUGGCUUCGGCCGCUGGAAUCAAAGCCCGCAAGGGCGUUGGAGGAGGGGCCCGCGGCCGAUUAGCUUGUUGGCGAGGUAACGGCUCACCAAGGCUUUGAUCGGUAGCCGGUCUGAGAGGAUGGCCGGCCACACUGGAACUGAGACACGGUCCAGACUCCUACGGGAGGCAGCAGUGGGGAAUCUUGCGCAAUGGGCGAAAGCCUGACGCAGCGACGCCGCGUGGGGGAUGAAGCUUCUCGGAGUGUAAACCCCUUUCGACCCGGACGAAACACCCGCAAGGGUUUGACGGUACGGGUAUAAGAAGCCCCGGCUAACUACGUGCCAGCAGCCGCGGUAAGACGUAGGGGGCCAGCGUUGCUCGGAAUUACUGGGCGUAAAGGGUUCGUAGGCGGUGUGGUAAGUCGGAAGUGAAAUCUCUGGGCUUAACUCAGAGGCUGCUUUCGAAACUGCCGCGCUAGAGUGCGGGAGAGGCGAGUGGAAUUACAGGUGUAGCGGUGAAAUGCGUAGAUAUCUGUAGGAACACCCGUGGCGAAGGCGGCUCGCUGGACCGCAACUGACGCUGAGGAACGAAAGCUAGGGGAGCAAACAGGAUUAGAUACCCUGGUAGUCCUAGCCCUAAACCAUCAGGACUUGGGGUGGCCCGCGUUGGCGGGUCGUCCCGGAGCUAACGCGUUAAGUCCUGCGCCUGGGGAGUACGGUCGCAAGGCUGAAACU
rnacentral:rRNA from 1 species